AGGGCAACUGGGGGAUACCUUGGUGACUUAAGGCUAUGAAGGACGUGGCAAGCUGCGAUAAGCCUCGGGGAGCGGCUAAACACGCUUUGAUCCGGGGAUUUCCGAAUGGGUGAACCCGGCGGUUUUAAUCAACCGUCAUCUCGACUCUGAAUAUAUAAGGUCGAGAAGCGAACCCGCUGAAGUGAAACAUCUCAGUAAGCGGAGGAAAAGAAAGCGAAUGCGAUUCCCUUAGUAGCGGCGAGCGAAAGGGGAACAGCCCAAACCGUUCUCGCUUGCGAGAGCGGGGUUGUAGGACUCCGAUAUGGUAUCUCAAACGUUAGCGGAAUUCUUCUGGAAAGAAAAUCCAUAGAGGGUGAUAGACCCGUACGUGAAAACCGAUGAGAACCUAGGAGUAUCCUGAGUAGCACGGGACACGUGAAACCCCGUGUGAAUCUGCGCGGACCACCGCGUAAGGCUAAAUACUAGAAGUCGACCGAUAGUGAACCAGUACCGUGAGGGAAAGGUGAAAAGUACUUCGAACAGAAGAGUGAAAUAGAACCUGAAACCGUGUGCCUACAAGCAGUCGGAGGGCGGCUUGCCGCCUGACGGCGUGCCUUUUGCAUCAUGAGCCGACGAGUUACUGUCUGCAGCAAGGUUAACUCACUAUGUGAGGCAGCCGCAGCGAAAGCGAGUCUGAAUAGGGCGUCUCAGUUACAGGCAGUAGACCCGAAGCCAGGUGAGCUACCCAUGGCCAGGAUGAAGCGUGAGUAAAAUCUCGUGGAGGUCCGAACCGGUGUAGGUUGAAAACUGCUCGGAUGAGCUGUGGGUAGGGGUGAAAGGCCAAUCAAACCUGGAGAUAGCUGGUUCUCCCCGAAAUAGCUUUAGGGCUAGCCUUAUGCAACCGUGUAGUAGGGGUAGAGAUACUGAUUGAGUAUUGGGGCCCACCAGGCUACCGAGCACAAUCAAACUCCGAAUACUACUGCAUUUGACAUAGGAGUCAGACUAUGGGGGAUAAGCUCCGUAGUCGAGAGGGAAACAGCCCAGACCAUUAGUUAAGGUCCCUAAAAUGAGCUAAGUGAAAAAGGAAGUGAAAGUGCUAAGACAGCUAGGAUGUUGGCUUAGAAGCAGCAAUCAUUUAAAAAGUGCGUAAUAGCUUACUAGCCGAGUACUUUUGUGCCGAAAAUUAGCGGGACUAAAGCUCAUUACCGAAACUAUGGAUCCUAAUCUUUUAGGAUGGUAGGGGAGCGUUCUAUGAUAGGUUGAAGCCUUACAAAAAUGAGAGGUGGACGAAAUAGAAGUGAGAAUGCCGGUAUAAGUAGCGAUAAUAUAAGUGAGAAUCUUAUUCGCCGAAAGCCUAAGGUUUCCUGGGGAAGGCAAAUCCGCCCAGGGUUAGCCGGUACCUAAGUCGAGGUCGAAAGGCGUAGACGAUGGACAACAGGUUAAUAUUCCUGUGCUGCUAUUUAACGUUUGAGCUUGGGAGGACGUGGACACAACGAUUAGCAAACCCAGUAGACAUGGUUUGUUCAAGCUGGAGGCACCGCUCUAGGAAAAUCCGGAGCAAUAAGGUGUCGAAAGCGAGUACGUUGGCUCUUGGCCUAGAAGUAAUCUGAGUGUCUUCCAAGAAAAGUCUCGUUAGCGAGUUAACAUGGCAACCGUACUAAAACUGACACAGGUAGGCAAGGAGAGAAUCCUAAGGCGCUCGAGAGAACCCUCGUUAAGGAAUUCGGCAAACAUACUCCGUAACUUCGGGAUAAGGAGUGCCUUUUUAACUUCGGUUAAAAAGGUCGCAGUGAAAAAGGUCCGGGCGACUGUUUACUAAAAACACAGGUCUCUGCUAAAAUGUAUAAUUGAUGUAUAGAGACUGACGCGUGCUCGAUGCCAGAAAGUUAAGGGGAUAGGUUAUUUCCUGAGCAAUCAGGAGAGAAGCUUGGAACUGAAGCUCUGGUGAAUGGCGGCUCUAACUAUGAGAGUCCUAAGGUAGCGAAGUUCCUUGUCGGGUAAUUUCCGACGCGCAUGAAUCGCGUAACGACCUGGACACUGUCUCAACGAGGGACUCGGCGAAAUUGUAGUUGUGGUGAAGAUGCCACAUACCCGCGGAAAGACGGAAAGACCCCGUGAACCUUUACUGUAGCUUAUUAUUGGAUUUUGGCGCAGUAUGUGUAGGAUAGGUGGGAGACGAGGAAGUUUCGACGUAAGUUGGAAUGGAGUCAAUGGUGAAAUACCACUCUUACUUUGUUAAAAUUCUAAAGGAAUACCGUGAAUCCGGGUUCUUGACAGUGGUAAGUGGGCAGUUUGACUGGGGCGGUCUCCUCCAAAAAAGUAACGGAGGAGUCCAAAGGCUCCCUCAAUGCGGUUGGCAACCGCAUGUAGAGUGUAAAGGCAUAAGGGAGCUUAACUGCGAGACCCAUAAGUCGAGCAGGUGUGAAAGCAGGGCUUAGUGAUCCGGCGGUUUCUGAGUGGAAAGGCCGUCGCUCAACAGAUAAAAGGUACUCCGGGGAUAACAGGCUGAUCUCCUCCGAGCGUUCAUAGCGGCGAGGAGGUUUGGCACCUCGAUGUCGGCUCAUCGCAUCCUGGGGCUGAAGAAGGUCCCAAGGGUUUGGGAGUUCACCAAUUAAAGCGGUACGCGAGCUGGGUUUAGACCGUCGUGAGACAGGUCGGUCCCUAUCUUCCGUGGGCGUACGAUAUUUGAGAAAAUCUGCCUCUAGUACGAGAGGAUCGAGGUGGACGAACCUAUGGUGAGUCAGUUGUUGUGCUAACAGCAUGGCUGAGUAGCUAAGUUCGGAAAGGAUAAACGCUGAAAGCAUAUAAGCGUGAAGCCUGCUUUAAGACUAGAUAUCGUUCUCUAAUUUAUUAGGGUGAAGACAUCUUAAAGACUAUGAGAUUGAUAGGCCAGGUGUGUAAGUCCGGUAACGGAUUCAGCUAACUGGUACUAAUUUGUCGAAAAGCUUGAUCA
rnacentral:rRNA from 1 species